AAAAAGGCAAACCCUAGAUUUCCUUACUAACGUUUGACUGUCCGUCUUAUAUGAAAUUUUUUUAUAAUUAGUAUUUUUAUUAUUGUUAGAUGAUAAAACAUGAUUAAUACUUUAUGCGCGACUUAUUUUUUAAAUUUUUUUUAUAAUUUUUUUAAAUAAGACGGACGGUCAAACAUUGAACACGGAAACCAGGGUUUGUCUUUUU
rfam:Oryza sativa Japonica Group DNA, chromosome 6, cultivar: Nipponbare, complete sequence.